rnacentral:tRNA from 1 species
UGGCUUUGAUGGUAAAGAAUCUGCCUCCAAUGCAGAAGACCCAGGUUUGAUCCCUGG